UCCCAGUUCAGGCAUUUCAAGUCCUCAUU
rnacentral:piRNA from 1 species